rnacentral:rRNA from 1 species
GACGAACGCUGGCGGCGUGCCUAAUACAUGCAAGUAGAACGCUGAAGAGAGGAGCUUGCUCUUCUUGGAUGAGUUGCGAACGGGUGAGUAACGCGUAGGUAACCUGCCUUGUAGCGGGGGAUAACUAUUGGAAACGAUAGCUAAUACCGCAUAACAAUGGAUGACCCAUGUCCUUUAUUUGAAAGGGGCAAAUGCUCCACUACAAGAUGGACCUGCGUUGUAUUAGCUAGUAGGUGAGGUAACGGCUCACCUAGGCGACGAUACAUAGCCGACCUGAGAGGGUGAUCGGCCACACUGGGACUGAGACACGGCCCAGACUCCUACGGGAGGCAGCAGUAGGGAAUCUUCGGCAAUGGGGGCAACCCUGACCGAGCAACGCCGCGUGAGUGAAGAAGGGUUUCGGAUCGUAAAGCUCUGUUGUAAGUCAAGAACGAGUGUGAGAGUGGAAAGUUCACACUGUGACGGUAGCUUACCAGAAAGGGACGGCUAACUACGUG